UUUCAAGCAUAUAUGAUGUCUUAUCAAUUUCGACCUCUUUCACAAUAGCAGAGGUACAUACAAAUGGAAUUAAGUUAUAUAUACUGACGGUAUAAAGAUUAUUUUCUAUUAUUAAUGUAGUUUAACCUGUUGUAACCUUUUAUCAACAUAACAUUUCUGUUGGAAUUAAGUUAUAUAUACUGACGAUGCAAACCAUUUUCUAUUGUGAUCAAUUAUUCCGUCACUUGAUACUGUCAUGGUCAUUUUUAGGUAAUAUUUUUUUUGCCUUUUCUCGAAUACUAAUUACUAAAUUGUUUCUCACAAUUAAGGUGAAACAGGAGAAAUUAAAUGGCAGAUGCGGCAUCUUUUUGCAAGCACAGAAGCAUUUCAAGACCUUCGCAUCGAUGAGAGAUUGCCCAACCUUCAGCAUUUUAUUUUUUGUUUUCUUUUUGUGAGUAUUUGGAAUUGGUUUGAAGAGAAUUGUGUUUGGAUUGUUGUUGAUUUUGUAUUUUGAGAGUUUUAAUUUCUUUGUUCCAAAACAAGACAUGUUUAGAAAAGAAAACAGAACACCUGUUUUCAGAAAACAAACAAAAACAAUUUGCCUACAGCUUGUUGCUGUAAUAACUAAGUACUAUAAAUAAGCAUGAGAUUUAAGGUUCGAGUUUCUGAAAG
rnacentral:lncRNA from 1 species